UGACCCCGAGACCGAUAGCGAACAAGUACCGUGAGGGAAAGUUGAAAAGCACUUUGAAGAGAGAGUUCAAGAGUACGUGAAACCGCUUAGUAGUAAACAGAGGGACUCUCGAAGUCGGCGGUGACGGUUCAGGGUGACGGCGGGGCGGCCUGGGGGCGUGGGAUCCGCAAGGACCCUGUCCCUUUGUCAGCUCUGUCGGCGCCUGCACUUCGUUGCCGCCAUACGCGAUGAACCGUUUCUGGCGGACCGAGGGCGUGGGUGAAGUUUGUUGGCCUCGGCUUUCAAGCCCCGCGUUCCUGGCUCUGUCGGGGACGGGUAGUAGAGCGAUCUCUUAUAGAGAGUGCCCUUGCUGGCACGGUUCGCAUCUCUAUCGCGAGUAGGUCGGCGGUCCCUCUGACCCGUCUUGAAACACGGACCAAGGAGUUUAACAUGUGCGCGAGCCAUUGGGUGUUCGAAACCCAAAGGCGCAGUGAAAGCAAAGUCUGACUUGUCAGAUGAGGGGUGAUCCUUCACGGGCGCAACCCCGGAGCUUCGCAUCGACCUCGCUUCGUGCGGAGCAUCAAGAGCGUACACGUUGAGACCCGAAAGAUGGUGAACUAUGCCUGGCCAGGUUGAAGUCAGGGGAAACCCUGAUGGAGGACCGUAGCGAUUCUGACGUGCAAAUCGAUCGUCGGAGCUGGGUAUAGGGGCGAAAGACUAAUCGAACCAUCUAGUAGCUGGUUCCUUCCGAAGUUUCCCUCAGGAUAGCUGGUGCUCGUAAUCGAGUUUCAUCCGGUAAAGCGAAUGAUUAGAAGUAUUGGGGGCGAAACGCCCUCAACUUAUUCUCAAACUUUAAAUGGGUGAGAAGCGGGACUUGCUUAAUUGAAGCCUCGCAACGAAUCGGAGUGCCUAGUGGGCCAUUUUUGGUAAGCAGAACUGGCGCUGUGGGAUGAACCGAACGUUGAGUUAAAGUGCCAAAGUGUGCGCUCAUCAGAUCCCAUGAAAGGUGUUGGUUGCUUAAGACAGCAGGACGGUGGCCAUGGAAGUCGGAAUCCGCUAAGGAGUGUGUAACAACUCACCUGCCGAAGCAACUAGCCCUGAAAAUGGAUGGCGCUAAAGCGCGCCACUUAUACUCAACCGUUGGAGCAGAGCCGGCUCUUUGCAGCCCUGACGCUCCAACGAGUAGGAAGGUCGCGUGGGUGGCGCCGAAGGCUUUUGGGUGUGAACCUGGCCGGAGCCGCCCACGGUGCAGAUCUUGGUGGUAGUAGCAAAUACUCCAGAGAGGCCCUGGAGGACCGAUGUGGAGAAGGGUUUCGUGUGAACAGCCGUUGAACACGAGUCAGUCGAUCCUAAGGCUUAGGGGAAACCUUAAUCAAGCGUGCGGCGUUUCGACUGUGAAACCGCAACUUGGCCGAAAGGGAAUUUGGUCCUUAUUCCAAAACCUGGCCGUGGAACCGUUUCGGAAUCUCGCAUUCCGUCGUGGCAACGCGACACGACUGGGAGACGCCCACCGAAGCUCUGGGAAGAGUUGUCUUUUCUGCAUAAGCCGCCGAGGCCCUGGAAUCCUCUCGCAGGGCGAACGGGUUUUGGUUUUGGCGAAGAUCCUCGCAGUUCUCGCGAGGACCACGAGUGGUCGGUGGGACCUUGAAAAUCCCAGGGAGAUUACGGCGGACUCACGCCAGCUCGUACCCAUAUCCGCAGCAGGUCUCCAAGGUGAACAGCCUCUGGUCGAUAGAAUAAUGUAGGUAAGGGAAGUCGGCAAAUUGGAUCCGUAACUUCGGGAUAAGGAUUGGCUCUGAGGGUUGGGGCGGUCGGGCUUUGCACAGGAAGCGGCUGCGUCCACCGGCGGGCCUGGGCAAGUCCCACGAGGGUCGAACCCGGUCCCGUUCACGGGCCUCCGUGGAUUGUCAUUGCUUUGCGGGCUCGGCUUCGCGGCCGAUGUCCCGUUCGGUCGUCAAUCAACAACCAACUCAGAACUGGCACGGACAAGGGGAAUCCGACUGUCUAAUUAAAACAAAGCAUUGCGAUGGUCAGAGAGUGAUGUUGACGCAAUGUGAUUUCUGCCCAGUGCUCUGAAUGUCAAAGUGAAGAGAUUCGUCCAAGCGCGGGUAAACGGCGGGAGUAACUAUGACUCUCUUAAGGUAGCCAAAUGCCUCGUCAUCUAAUUAGUGACGCGCAUGAAUGGAUUAACGAGAUUCCCACUGUCCCUAUCUACUAUCUAGC
rnacentral:rRNA from 2 species